rnacentral:rRNA from 1 species
AAUAUUGGUCAAUGGGCGCAAGCCUGAACCAGCCACGUCGCGUGAAGGAAGACGGCCNNNCGGGUNGUAAACUUCUUUUGUCGNGGCNUAAAGUGUAGUGCGUGUACUAUUUUGCAUGUACCUUACGAAUAAGGAUCGGCCCACUCCGCGCCAGCCGCCGCGGUAAUACGGAGGAUCCGAGCGUUAUCCGGAUUUAUUGGGUUUAAAGGGUGCGCAGGCGGGAGAUUAAGUCGGCAGUGAAAUUUUGCAGCUUAACUGUAAAAGUGCCUUCGAAACUGGUUUCCUUGAGUGUGGAAGAAGGAGGCGGAAUUUGUGGUGUAGCGGUGAAAUGCAUAGAGAUCACGAGGAACUCCGAUUGCGCAGGCAGCUUACUAAACUGCUACUGACGCUCAUGCACGAAGGCGUGGGGAUCAAACAGG